CCUACGGGUGGCAGCAGUGAGGAAUAUUGGUCAAUGGGCGGAAGCCUGAACCAGCCAAGUAGCGUGCAGGAUGACGGCCCUACGGGUUGUAAACUGCUGUUAUACGGGAAUAACGCGCCUUACGUGUAGGGCUUUGCAUGUACCGUAUGAAUAAGGACAGGCUAAUUCCGUGCCAGCAGCCGCGGUCAUACGGAAGGUCCGGGCGUUAGCCGGAUUUAUUGGGUUUAAAGGGAGCGUAGGCCGCAUGGCAAGGGUGCUGUGAAAUGUCCGGGCUCAACCCGGGCCUUGCAGCGCUAACUGGCGUGCUUGAGUCCGCGGCAAGCAGGCGGCAUUCGUCGUGUAGCGG
rnacentral:rRNA from 1 species